CAACAAAGGACAAAGUCGAAAGAGAAACUUCCCGUUUAUCACGUAUAUUUAUGGUAUGUAGAUGUUUGCAUGUGGCUAUCAAUGUUUGUGAUAUUUAUGAAUUGUGUUCAGAAACUCUGAAUUGGUAUCAUAUUGCACAAUUAGAGAAAAUUAGAACGUCGACAUUGUAUUCCAGAAAACAGAUCAGAACACAUGGAAGGACCAUCAUAUAUAAUUUCCUCCAAUUAUACUAUUUCUAAGAGCAUUUAAUGUGGAAAGCAUAUUUAGUUUCAUUUUAAAGUUUAGGUAAAGGUUGUUACAAUUAUUAUGCUUAAAGAUUCAUAUAAGAAAAAGGGGGGAUAAGCAAGUGUUUACAUUAUUUUGCUCAGGUAAAUUUCCCAACAUGUUUACUUUAUACUAUAUAUAUGCGAUUCUUUUAGUUUAACUCUAAGGCUUGGUAAACCACAUACUUUUUGACGAUCAUAUUAAACGAUGAAUUUCAACUGGACAACAAAGUAUUGAAUUUGAACAAUCAUGGAAAAUUGAUACUUUUAUUGUUUUAUUUUUACAAAAACAAGUCAGUCUGAGCCUUUACUGAUCUUCAGGUGAUCUCUAACUAUGUCCAUGUGUAAUAUGAGAAAUGCAUGUUUCAUUAAUGUGUACUUAACCUGGUUUUGAAAGUUAUAGCAGUCCAUUAUCUGAUAACAUGAACAUGUAUUAUUUAUUUUACAGAAUCUUUUCAAACAGAUCAAUGGCUAAAAUACAUCAAGUGGAGCAAAAUUAAAAUUCAGUUUGGGGAAUUCCAGUCUUUAAAAUCAUCAAAGGUAGGUUUUUUGUCUGUAUAGCUAUAUACCAUUUGUGUUCAAAGAUUAAUCUUUUGUUUAUUCUAAUUUUGUUUACCUUACAUAGUAAAUUUACCUUACAUACAAUAUUUAAUUAUGUUUGUCUUUAUAUCUUACCUAUUCUAGUAAAGCUCUUUAUUUUAUGUUAAUAGAAUUGUGCAGUCAUCAAUAAAAAAACGUCUUACUUAGGUAAAAUGUUUUCAUUGUUAUCAAUAACUCAGGUUGAAGCUUCUUCAUUAACAAAAAACUACUGAUAGUAAACAUUAAUGUAUAUAUUUUUAUUAAUGAUUAUCUUAUUACAAUAUGUGCUUCGUCAUUAUGGUUUUAUUUAUUUUCAAUGCUUCUAGAAAACAAAUUGAAAGUGGCCUCAAAUUUAAAAUAUCUUUUCAGGAAAUACAAUUUAUAUUUAUUAUAUAUAUAUAUAAUCUGAUUUUUUCCAGAGUUUAAAUAUACUGCAAGAGUAAAAAGAUGUCACUUGGAAAUACAUAUCUGAUAAAGACCUCUCCUGCUUAAAAUUUACCACUGAAAGAUCCCGAGGUGGUGGAAGAAUGAUGACAUGCAAUAAGGACAAAAAGAGACAAAUAUAUCAAAUGAAUUUAUAAAAUAAAUCUUGUAUCAAAAGAAAUAUCAUUGUAUUACUAUUUUUGAUAUUAUUGUUCCUGAGUAAAUAAGUAUUAAUGUAAUGGUUUAUGAGGUUUAUAUAACAUAUAUGUAUAUAUAAUCAAGGACCUUUGUUUUUGUGGAUAGUUGUCUGGUAAGCAGUCAUGCAGCAUCUUCUUAUUUUCGUAAAUAUUGCGAUCAUCCUGAAUACA
rnacentral:lncRNA from 1 species